rnacentral:piRNA from 1 species
UAAAAUUCAGACAUCCAAACAUAUCAAAUA